UGCCAAACCUCACCAAAGCACCUGAGGAGCCCCCAGGGAUUGAUGGCACAGAAGAGAGGUGAUGGAGCACAGCACAGCAGGCAGCCUGCCCUCCAUCCGGGUGUGAAGAAGGCAGGGCUCGGAACUGCCAGCAACAUCCCACCAGGUCUGGCUCACAGUGCCACCCUGAGGGUUUCCCCUGCCUCUGGGCAGUCCCAGCUGCUGCAGCCCACUUGACAGAGACUCACUGCCUAUACUGUGCUUGGCUGCACUGGAGAGGAUGAAGCCGAGGACAGCAGUGGUUGCCUUCACAUCCCCUGACUGCAGACGGGAGGGAGGGCGAGCUCUGUCACCUUGGGAAGGCAUCCGCAGACUCACUGCUGCCCAUCUCUGGAGCAUGGCUCCACCUGGGGAUGGUGGUAAGGACAGCAGUGCUCACCUAACUUUGCACCUGAGGUCAGCUUCAGGAUCUUGUCAUACUGUGGGAGAGCGGAGCUUCUCAGUAAACACCAGCUAACACACUCGCUACCAGUGUUAACACUAACAAUUCUUACCUAAAUAUUAAUACUAAUAACAUUUACUAUGCAUAUUAUUAAUGCUAGUAGAGGCCGGUAGCAUUCCUAAUGCUGAGGCUUGCAUGAAGAACUCAAAAUUAAUUAAUGCUACUGAUUAUGCUAUAGUGGUGUUGAAAUACUUGGCCUCUACUGCGGUAACUCCACACUUACCUCGAUGGCCUCCCCCAGCAGGUCCUGCAGCACCUGGAUGCAGAUCAGCUUAAGUUUCACUGAUGUGAUAAACAGAGUUCCCUCUUUAAAUUUUUAAAAGUUUAAUAAAGGAUAAAAGGACAAAAGAAUCCAGCACUGGGGUGCUUUUGGCACACAGCCAAAGAGCACAGAGGUAGCUUAAAAUCAUGUUCACUAUAUAUGGUUACAUUGCUGGGGUUACAUGCAUAUUCAUUAGCUUAUACAUUAUUCAAACAUUCCUUUGAGUUUUUGAUGUUCCAGGAACUCUUUUGUUUUUAACCUCUGACUUGGCUGCAGAACAUUCUGUAAAUUCGGUCACGUAUUUUAUUUUUUUUCUGUGGUUUUAUCCUGUUGCUUCACACUCCCUGAUAACACCAAUAAGAGUCGAUAAAUCCUUCCUGCAUGCCUUAGUUCUUUUUGUCACUGUUACCAGUUGGUAGGGCCAGUCUGCAGAUACAAGAAACAGAAUAAUUGCUUUGCACCACUCUCUGAGUUAGUUACAUAGAAGUAUUUUAGUUUCUAUUUUAACAUUUUGCUAAUGCCUACGAUAUAUUUAUCACGCUACUAUUUAUAUGAAAUAUACAGUGCAUACAUAAACUGGCAUAUUACACUGUACAAAGCAGUUAAAAGUAAGUAUAAGUUGUACCAUAUCAAAAUAUUUGUGAUGCAAAAAGCUAAUCUGUAAAUGUGAAA